rnacentral:lncRNA from 1 species
CUAUAGACAAGAUAGCCAUGGAGGAGUUCAUUACUCAGGCAAGCCACAUAGGAAUUCAGGGACUUGAAGAUGAGAGCCAUAGCAACUCUCCUCCAAUUCCAGAGGAGGUGCGUGAUUUUUCUCGAAAAUGUUUGGAUAUUUCAUUUUUUUUGGUUUGACUGAAUCUGUUUGUGUGUUUUCCGCAAGUUUGAUGGAUAAAGAAAAGGAAAUGGCCCGUGAAGUCAUCUUUGGUAAUUUGAACAUUUCAGGUUGUUCUUGUUUUUUUCUUUAUGACUGAAUGAGAAACUCAAUUCGAAAGAGAAAAAUAAAGGGAAAA